rnacentral:misc_RNA from 1 species
AUGCAGCCCCAUGUGCGUGU